rnacentral:misc_RNA from 1 species
UUCUUCAUAUGAGUUCCUUGUCCUCCACUCCUCAUGCUCAAAAUUCUCUCUUAAUAAAUUUUCCUUACUAUGCAAGAACUAGGGUGAUAAGUAACAUGCAGGCUACAUUUAGAUGGUUGUUGUACUUUGCCUUAUAGUUUGUUGUGGACACAAGGAAAUCAUGGUCAUUUCUGAAGUGUAGAAACAGCAUAUUUAGUUCCUUGUCCAUCAGGUUCUAUUUCUUUCUCCUUUUUGUGCAAUGAAGAGAGUUUUUCUUUCUUCAUCUUCACCUUUAGCGUAGCAUUUAUAGUCAUCCAUUUGUUAAUUUAUAUAACAUACUAACAUUCAUUGGAUAGAUGAGUACAGAGUUGCUAAAAUUGUUGAGAGAAAAUAAAAAGGAGAAGCUUUUCAAGUGAGGCAUUAUAUACACUGUCUUGUAGUGAGUAUGUAAUGUGUAUUGGUUCUUGGUUUUUAGAAAUGGUUCAUCUUCUCUAAAUCCAUGUGUAUUGAAUGAAUUUUUAUAUAGGACUGCUGUAUUUUUUUUUCUGUUGUUGACAAGAAACUUCUUCACUAUGUGCUACUUAUACCUUUUAUUGUUAGUGUUCUGUUUAAUUCUUUUUCUAUUGGUAUUGCCCCUGCAGGCACUUGAUACAUUU